UACGUAGGGGGCAAGCGUUGUCCGGAAUUAUUGGGCGUAAAGAGCGUGUAGGCGGCCAGAUAAGUCCGCUGUGAAAUCUCGAGGCUCAACUUCGAGCUGUCGGUGGAAACUAUCUGGCUAGAGUCCGGAAGAGGAGAAUGGAAUUCCUGGUGUAGCGGUGAAAUGCGCAGAUAUCAGGAGGAACACCAAUGGCGAAGGCAGCUCGCUGGAACGGUACUGACGCUGAGGCGCGAAAGCGUGGGGAGCGAACAGG
rnacentral:rRNA from 1 species